rnacentral:lncRNA from 1 species
AGCCUAUUUUUGGCACACGGAGGCCCCUCGCAAAGUCUCGCGGCAUUCCGAGUUCGGCGGACGAAGUUGGCCAGCCCCACCCCCCAAGGCUAUAGCCCACCCGUUUUCGUGGCCUUUUUCCGCUGGACGAACUUGGAGCUCCGGCCUUCGGGUGGUGUUUUUUGGGUACGGCAUUGCCCGCGGCCUAUUUUUGGCACAUGGAGGCCCCUCGCAAAGUCUCGCGGCAUUCCGAGUCCGGCGGACGAAGUUGGCCAGCCCCACCCCCCAAGGCUAUAGUCCACCCGAUUUUGUGGCCUUUUUCCGCCGGACGAAAUUGGCGCCCCGGCCUUCGGGCUGCUAUUUUUGGGCACGGUUUUGCCCGCGGCCUACGUUUGGCACACGGAGGCACCUUGCAAAGUCUCACGGCAUUCCUAGUCCGGCGGACGAGGUUGGCCAGCCCCACCCCCCAAGGCUAUAGCCCACCCGUUUUUGUGGCCUUUUUCCGCUGGACGAACUUGGCUUCCCGUCGUUCGGGCGGUUUUUUUUGGAUACAGCAUGGCCCGCGGCCGAUUUUUCACACACGGAGGCCCCUCGCAAAGUCUCGUGGCAUUCCGAGUUCGGCGGACGAAGUUGGCCAGCCCCACCCCCCAAGGCUAUAGCCCACCCGUUUUUGUGGCCUUUUUCCGCCGGACGAAAUUGGCGCCCCGGCCUUCGGGCUGCCAUUUUUGGGCACGGCAUUGCCCGCGGCCUACGUUUGGCACACGGAGGCACCUUGCAAAGUCUCACGGCAUUCCUAGUCCGGCGGACGAGGUUGGCCAGCCCCACCCCCCAAGGCUAUAGCCCACCCGUUUUUGUGGCCUUUUUCCGCCGGACGAACUUGGCGCCCCGGCCUUCGGGCGUUUAUUUUUGGGCGCGGCUUUGCCCGCGGCCUAUUUUUGGCACACGGAGGCCCCUCGCAAAGUCUCGUGGCUUUCCGAGUCCGGCGGCCGAAGUUGGCCGGCCCCACCCCCCAAGGCUAUAGCCCACCUGUUUUUGUGGGCUUUUUCCGCUGGACGAACUUGGCGCCCCGGCCUUCGGGCAUUUAUUUUUGGGCGCGGCUUUGACCGUGGCCUAUUUUUGGCACACGGAGGCACCUCGUAAAGUCUCGCGGCAUUCCGAGUCCGGCGGACGAAGUUGGCCAGCCCCACCCCACAAGGCUAUAGCCCACCCGUUUUUGUGGCCUUUUUCCGCUGGACGAAAUUAGCGCUCCGGCCUUCGGGCGGCUAUUUUUGGGUGCGGCUUUGCCCGCGGCCUACGUUUGGCACACGGAGGCACCUUACAAAGUCUCGCGGCAUUCCGAGUCCGGCGGACGAGGUUGG